UACGUAGGGGGCAAGCGUUGUCCGGAUUUACUGGGCGUAAAGAGCGUGUAGGCGGCCAAACAGGUCCGUUGUGAAAACUGGAGGCUUAACCUCCAGACGUCGACGGAAACCGUGUGGCUAGAGUCCGGAAGAGGAGAGUGGAAUUCCUGGUGUAGCGGUGAAAUGCGCAGAUAUCAGGAAGAACACCAAUGGCGAAGGCAGCUCUCUGGGACGGUACUGAUGCUGAGACGCGAAAGCGUGGGGAGCGAACAGG
rnacentral:rRNA from 1 species